UACGGAGGGUGCUAGCGUUGUUCGGAAUUACUGGGCGUAAAGGGCUCGUAGGCGGCCAACUAAGUCAGACGUGAAAUCCCUCGGCUUAACCGGGGAACUGCGUCUGAUACUGGAUGGCUUGAGUUUGGGAGAGGGAUGCGGAAUUCCAGGUGUAGCGGUGAAAUGCGUAGAUAUCUGGAGGAACACCGGUGGCGAAGGCGGCAUCCUGGACCAACACUGACGCUGAGUGAGCGAAAGCCAGGGGAGCAAACGGG
rnacentral:rRNA from 1 species